CACAGCUUGUAGGCGAAGUGUAAAUCUUCCAAGACAAGCAGUGUCUAUUCCUGGGAGUAUACCUGCUAAAGAACACCCGACUAACACUCCUUUGGAACACCUGGUUGGCGUGCGGAUGGGGUGAAGAGGAAGUAGGAGCCCCAUAGGAAAGAUCCGUGGCCCCACAAGCAUAGCCUCAGUGACAUUGGAAGCCUUCUGAUUAUCCAAUAAGACCAUGAUGUGGUGGGUGAGAACAGAAUAGACGCUUACAGGAUCCAAAGACCUGGACCUGAAUCCCCCAGUGAAGAGCCAGGAGGUAGGUGCCAGGUCAAGAGAGAGGGCAGGUGAGUGUAGGGGCACUCAUAGGGGGAUGAAGGACUGUGUGUAUGUGUGUGUGUGUGUGUGUGUGUGUGUGAGGCCAUGCCGGGCAAGCCGCACUGGCUGAGUAGAGCCUGGGAGAGGAAGACUCCUUCUCCCCCUGGGUCCCUACUUAGCUGAGCCCCCCAGGAAGUCCCACAACUGGAACCAUGCAAACAAGUGCUCAAACAGGCACAGUCCAAUUAAAGAAUUGCAGUUUGCCUGGGAGUUCACAUGGAGGGACGCACAGAAGGCACCCAGAGGGCUGGUCCAAGCAAGCGUCCUGAGCCCAGAGGACUAAUGAGUAGCUGCUGCUGAGACCAGGUAAGUACAAGAAGUACCUCGCAGCCAUGGCAGUGACCUGCCAUGCCCAGCAGCUUCAGCUUCUCCACACCAAGACCUCCACCCAGACAGAGCAUGCAGCCCUGGCCCUGGAGACUGCCUGGCAUGUGGAAGCUUGAGGAGGAGGUACAACAGCUAUGCACCAUCAGGCCCCAUGAAGAUUAUAUUGACUACUGCCAGGCCCUAUUCCAGGGAAAUGGAGAGAGGAAGAAUGUGGAGGAGAAGGGGGAAGAGGUGGCCACAAAGAAGACUGGCCACAAAGACCCAUCCAGAGCUACCUGGAAAACAGUUGUCUCCAGGUCCAGAGCACACAGAACUAGGGCCACUCCUCCCCUGACUGCAUAACAGGUACACUCCCCUCACUACGCAUGAGACGACUCCGGCAGAGACAUCGGAAGAGGAGAAGGUAAGUAUUCAGAAGGUAAAUAUUCCCACCCCUAGAAGGAGACCCUGGGUAGUGGUGGGGUGGGACUCUCUCCUGAGGGAUACGGGGGACCUAUCUGCCAUCUGGACCCCUUAGCCCGCAAAGUCUGCUGUCUCCCUAGGGCUCACAUCUGAGACGCUGCAGAGAGGAUCCCCAGGCUCAUCCAUUCCUCUGACUAUUACCUCAUGCUCCUCAUCCAUAUGGGCACAAAAGACACAGCUGGGGUAACCCUGACCAGGCCACAGACCCAGGAGGGAAGGCUGUGUGGAAGAAGCUAACAGACACCUCAGACGGUGGUGUUACUACGAGGGGUUCGGUUUCUUCGACCACAGCAUGCACUGCAGAGAGAGAGGACUCCUAGGAUGAGAUGGAAUUCACCUCACAUGGAGAGGUCAUCAAACCAAGAGGAGGAGCUGUAUCUGGCAUUCUCUCAAGAACUGACAGAGGUGGCAUGCACAAGGGACUUGGUUGUCAUGGGUGACUUCAAUUACCCGGACAUAGAUUAAGAGGAACACUUGGCUUGGUCAAAUUGUUCACGCAGUUUCCUGACUCUGAUCGAGGAGCUCUUCCUGACCCAGGAAGUGCAAUGGCCAACCAGAGGUAACACUCUCCUAGACUUGGUCUUGGCUAAGGGAGAUGAUCUGGUGUGUGGCUUGAAAACUGAGGGUAACCUGGGUGACGGCGACCAUGAAAUUAUCAGCUUCACCGUCUCCUGCAAGGUUGACAUAUCAAGCAGCAGGAUUGAAGUCCUGGGCUCCAAAAAUCUGACCUUGACAGGCUCAAGGCAUUAGUAGGGGAGGUGAUGUGGGACCAGGAAGGCAAGGCAAAUUGGGUAUAUGAAGAGUGGUCAUUGCUCAAGGAUACAAUCCUCAAAGAACAAAGGAAAACAGUUCCUGCAAAAAGGAAAGGCAGCAGAAGGGCUGGCAAGCCCUUCUGGUUUAAUAGGGACAUUAUAGUCCUCUUAAAAAAUAGGUGUAUGCACAGUGGAACCUAGGGAUGGUCCUCAAGGAGGACUAUACUUUAAUGGCCAGCACUUGUAGGGAAAUGAUCAGGAAAGCCAAGGCAGCAACGGAGUUUAGGUUAGCUAUGGGAGUCAAGGACAAUAAGAAGUCCUUCCUUAAGUACAUAGGCAGUAGAAGGAAAACAAAUGGAAGUGUGGGACCCCUGAUUAACACCUCGGGGCAACUGGUAACUGACAUUCAGGAAAAAAAAUGAACUUCUGAAUGCCCACUUUGCUUCGGUAUUUCACCGGACCAAGGGGAAAGUCAAGUGAGAUAAGGCUCAUAGGGGACAUGCCAGAACUGACAGCCUCACUACUGUGGAUGCUGAGUGGGUACAAUACCAAUUAGAAAAGCUAGACAUUUAUAAGUCAGCGGGACUGGAUGGACUCCAUCUGAGACUGCUGAAGGAGCUGGCUGAGGUCAUUGUGGAAACCCUGGCAAAGCUCUUUCAGAAUUCAUGGCACACAGGGGAAAUCCCUGAAGAUUGAAAGAGGGCCAGCGUUAUGCCCAUCUUUAAGAAGGGGAAGAGGAAAGACCCCGGGGCAACUAUAAGCCUAUCAGCCUAACCUCUAUCCCAGGGAAAAUCCUGGAAAACCUCAUUAAAGAAUCUAUGUGUGAUACACUUGCAGAAGGUAAGAUUCUGAAUGACAACUAGCGUGGCUUUGUCGUGGGUAGGUCUUGUCUUACCAAUCUCAUCUCCUUCUAUGACCAGGUCUCUCACCACCUUGACAUAGGAGAUGUGGUAGAUUUUAUAUACCUAGACUUCCAAAAGGCUUUUGAUCUAGUAUCCCACAAUAUCCUUGUGGGAAAAAUGGAAAAUUGUGGGCUCAGCUGCUCGAUGGUUUAGUGGGUGGGAAACUGGCUACAGGGUAGGACCCAGAGAGUUCUCAUGAACAGAUCUGUGUCAUCCUAGCGCAAAGUGGCCAGUGGUGUCCCUCAGGGGUCCAUGCUUUUCAACAUCUUUAUCAAUGAUUUAGAUGGGGGAGUGAAAAGCUCACUGGCUAAGUUCAUGGAUGACACCAAGUUAUGGGGCAGUGUGGUCACGUCAGAAGAUAGGUUGGACCUGGACAGGCUUGAGAGUUGGACAGACCGGAACCAGAUGAAAUUUAACACUUCUAAGUGUAAGGUGCUCCAUUGGGGGGCAAACAACCCUCAACAUACAUACAGGCUCAGUGGUGACAGCUUGCUUGCACCACAGCUGAAAACUACACUCUGGUGUGCAUCAACCAAUGCAUCUCAUGUAAAACUAAGGAGGUGAUGCUCCCACUGUACUCAGCACUGGUGAGACCACAGUUGGAGUACUGCAUCCAGUUCUGGGUGCCGCACUUCAAUAAGGACCUUGAAAAACUUGAGAGGUUCCAGAAAAGAGCCACUCAUAGGAUCAGGGACUUGCAAGGCAAGCCAGAUGAGGAAAGGCUGAGGGACCUGGGCUUCUUUAAACUGAAGAAGAGAAGGCUGAGAGGGGACUUGAUAGCGGCUUACCGCUGUAUCAGAGGAGUGCAUCAGAAGCUCAGUGAACAACUUGUCAUUAGGGCACCCCCGGGGAAGAUUAGACCAAUGGAUACAAACUCCUGGAAGGCUGCUUCAGGCUUAAUACCAGGAAAAACUCCUUCACAGUCAGGGUGUCCAGACUGUGGAAUAAACUCCCUCCAGAGGUGGUGCAUUCACCUACCCUGGAGGUUUUCAAGAGGAUACUAGACAGUCACCUUUCUGGGGUCACCUAACCCCAGUUGUCUUCCUGCCUAGAGUGGAGGGGCUGGACCCGAUGAUCUGCAAGGUCCCUUCCAUUCCCUAACAAUCUAUGAAUCUGUGAAUCUAUACGUUUUGGAAUGGUCUACUAAACAAAGCACUGGGGGUAAAGAAUUUGAAUCACCCUAAGGUUGAACUGAACAAGUUUAUGAAAAGGGCAUAAUGAUAAGACAGGGAGUUCUGGCAUAUCAAUCAGUGUGUGAUGUGAAGUCCUGUACUUUAAGGAUGCCCUGUUAAGUGUGCAGGAGAAAGCUAUACUGACACAGCAGAAGAAUGGGAAGUGUAACAAGAAACCAUACUGGCUAGAAAGGAAUCUUUUCAAUAAGUUGACACUUGGAAAAGAAUCCUACAAAAAAUGGAAAACUGACCAUAGUAGUAGGAGGAAAAUAAGAGUAUUACAUGGACAUGUGGGGAGAAAAUUAGGAAGGCCCAGGCAUGAUUUGAGAUGCAAUUGGCAAAGGAUAUAAGAGGUAAUAAAAAGGGAUUCUACAAGUAUGUCAAAAGUAGGAGGAAGACCAAAGAAACCAUAGAUUUCUUAUGGAAAGCAGAAUGCAGAAGUUACGGAUGGUGCAGAGGAGGCUGAAGAGGUUAAUGCCUUUUUUACUUCAGCCUCACAAGUAGGGACACCUACAAGAUGAUGAGUGUAGUUGGCAGCAAAUAUAGGGAAGGAGACAAAAAGUCUAGAAUAGAAGAACAGGUUAGGGAUUACUUAGAGAAGCUAGAUGCUUUCAAAUUGGCAGGGCCAGAUAGAAGUCUCCUUGAGAACUCAUGGAGGUUGGAUGAGAUCCCAGGUGACUGGUAAGGGACAAAUAUAAUGCCUGCCUUUAAGAAAAGGAAAAAGGAGAAUCUUGGGAAUUACAGACUAGUCAGCCUGACCUUGAUACCCAGAAAGAUCAUGGAACAAGUCCUCAAGAAAUCUAUUGUGAAGCACUGAAAGAACAAGGUGGUCAAGAAAAGCCAGCACAAGUUCAUCAAGAGCAAGUAAUGCCUGACUACCCUGAUAUCCUUCUACAGACUCUGUGGCUGGAUGGGGAGAGCAAUGGAUGUGAUCACGGGUGGAUCCAGGAGUGGUGGAUUUGCACCCCCCCCACUUUGAUUCCUGGUUCAUCAAAAGUUUAAAACCAUCUCCCUGGAAGAGGAAGUAGCAUUUCUAUUCAGACAGAAGUGAAGGAAUCAGCUGACCUUCUAAACUCUCUAUUUCACAGGUGUUAAACACCUCUCCUUUUUAAUGCUUUCUAGUGGUUCCACUAACCAAGUUAUCUUUUAUGCUGUCUGUUAGCUGCUCUUGGUAACAUAGCUGUUAUUUCACAACCCUGCAGACUGCUUUUGACUCUAGCUAGAAACUAACUCAGAUAGAAAUCUUAACUCAGGUGAAUGUUAACUCGGGUGUGGAAAUUAACUUUCAGUGAAGCACUGGAUGCACUGUAGAGAUGUACAUUUAAUUCUAACGAUAACAGGACUAAUUAAACAACAUCUCUUGAGUAUUUUUACCUAGAUUGUUGUGUGUUUUUAGCUACUAUAUGAUAUAGCAAAUCAAUGCACAUUUCAAUAAUGUUAUAUUUGUUUUUCCUGAAUAAUACAGCCCUAGGUCCCUAGCUUACUAGUAAAGCUUCUAGUUUCUUUUCAACUGGGGAAAA